UUCUUUCUUUCUCUUUUUUUUUCUUCUUCUUCUUUCACGGGAGAGGGAACCCGUGUCCCUCUCUUCUUCUUUUUCUUUAAUGGAAUAAGAAAAUUCUUGUUCCCCAUUCCUUCUCUGGACUAAGGACCUCCCGUCGACCAUGGCUAUGGCCGACGAUAGCUGGGGCCUGGCGACACCACCAAAGCCCUUUUCCCAACGAACGACGACGGCCCAUGGUGACGGAGAAAGAAAGAACACAAAAACAGAGGAUUUGAUAAAUAAAAUUUUCAUAGAAUUUUUGGCAGCAAUCUAGGCUAAAGUUUGAGCUUAGGACCUAUAACGAACUAAGAAAAAGAUGCUUAGAAAGAUUUAGCUAAUCUUCAAUGGGAAUUGCUCUUAUUUGUGGCGGCCAAAAUAAGAUUAUCCACAGGAAAGAAUAGAAAGAAAAAAGGAUUAAAUGGUGAUUUUUUUUUGGAGAUUUUUCAGUGAGAAAACUAGAGGAAUUAGGGCUUUUAAAUAGAUUUCUUAGAGGAAAGAAUUAGUGUUUCAAUCAAAUUUCUUUUCCUAAGAUUUUUAAGAAAUCUAAUCAGAGAAGAACUCGGGAGUUCUUCCACCAGCUUCCCAUCUCUACACUGAUCCCAUCUUUCCUAUCACGUGCAGAGCACGUGCUGGCCCUUUUUUUUUGGCUUAUGCUUUAAGAUCUGUGUGAUAAUUGGAUCUGAUUUGGGGUAUCACAGAAUACCUCCCAGGUCUCAUUCAGAGAUAAACUCUUUCUAACUACUACAUAGGAGCACUAAUCAUCAUAGGGAUUGGAUGGAGUAUAUAACUCCUAUAUCAAAUAGAUCAUAUGUGCUCCUUGACUAAUUAAUUAGCUUGUUAUUACCACAUUGAACCUCCUCCAAAAGAUCUCCUAUCACAAAAGUUAGGUUUCCACUAUUAGAAAGUCCAUUAUAAGUAAAGCUCCAUCUCCCUCGAUGACUUUAGGAUCUUAGUCCUAUUCAAGCUUUUGUAAGGCAGACAUAUAUAAAAGAAUCUUCACCCCAAUAAUUUCUGAAAUAUAUCAGAACUUAUGGUAUUGACUAUAUCCUAUAAAUGUUCAGCCAUACCAUUAGAAUAAAAAAAAUAGAAGAUAUUCCUUUAUCACAUGAUGCUAUUCAUCAUUUCUUAAAUCAUGAGAUUUAACGAAUAAAUAAAAUGAAAGGUUUGUGAAAAGUAACAUAUGUAUUAAAACUAUGGCAUGUCCCUUUUAGAUGAACUAUGUGCAUCUUUUGUGUCAUCUGUCAAAACCUAGCUAAGAGUUAUGCAUAUAAAGAUAUGUUUGUUAUGAAAUAUCCAACUUUCAGUUGUCUUUAAAUCAUUUAAUCUUCUAAAAAUAUCCAGAUAAUUUUCUUCUCCAUGAAGCAAUCUAUGAUAGGAUAAUUUUCUUCUCCAUGAAGCAAUCUAUGAUAGCAAAUCUGGCACCUAUAUCAAGGUUCCCAAGACAACAUUUUUGUCCAAUUAUAUACAUAUUUGAGAUCAAGGAACAAGAAAAAUAAGAAAUAAUAACCAUUCAGGUAUUACAUAGUG
rnacentral:lncRNA from 1 species